GCAAUUUAGAGAAAAUUGCAACUUUUGGCCCAAAGGUUUGAAUAAUUAAAUUCAAACCUAUAGUUUUUUUUUAAUAUAAUUUUGGGACUCACAAUCCCAUUUUUAUAUUAUUUUUCUCUCUUCCUCUCAUGUUGCUCGACGUUUUCUCACAAGGGGGAAUUAUUUUCUUUUCCUUCAGAUUAUAUUGACAAAGAUAGUGGUGAAAAAGGAGUUGUGAAGGGGAACUUGUUAUUCAAGACACAAGGAGCGAGUCUGGCCGAGAAAGCACCAGAGGUGUAACUGUGGUGUAUGAGACACCAUCUUUUACGUUGCCUCUUAUUUUAGAUUAUACAAUGUAUCUUGUGCCAACUUAGGACAUAUCUUCUUUGUGAAGCAUGUAAACUCUAAUCCUUUUUAUUAAAAGUAUUUAUAUGACCAAGAGGAUUAUGUCUGUCCCUCUUGAUUCAUGACCUGAUUUGAAUAACAUGCUAUGAGGAUCCUGUCUGUCCCUCAUGGUUCUAAUUGCUUUUUGAGAUAUUUUAAGACCUGUGGUAUA